CCUACGGGCGGCAGCAGUAGGGAAUAUUGCUCAAUGGGGGAAACCCUGAAGCAGCAACGCCGCGUGGAGGAUGAAGGUUUUCGGAUUGUAAACUCCUUUUGUUAGAGAAGAUAAUGACGGUAUCUAACGAAUAAGCACCGGCUAACUCCGUGCCAGCAGCCGCGGUAAUACGGAGGGGGCAAGCGUUACUCGGAUUCACUGGGCGUAAAGAGCGCGUAGGCGGGAUAGCAAGUCAGAUGUGAAAUCCUAGGGCUUAACCACAGAACUGCAUUGGAAACUGUUAUUCUAGAGUAUGGGAGAGGUAGGUGGAAUUCUUGGUGUAGGGGUAAAAUCCGUAGAGAUCAAGAGGAACACUCAUUGCGAAGGCGACCUGCUAGAACAUAACUGACGCUGAGGCGCGAAAGCGUGGGGAGCAAACAGGAUUAGAUACCCCUGUAGUC
rnacentral:rRNA from 1 species